AGCGAACGCUGGCGGCAGGCCUAACACAUGCAAGUCGAACGAACCUUUCGGGGUUAGUGGCGGACGGGUGAGUAACACGUGGGAACGUGCCUUUAGGUUCGGAAUAACUCAGGGAAACUUGUGCUAAUACCGAAUGUGCCCUUCGGGGGAAAGAUUAAUCGCCUUUAGAGCGGCCCGCGUCUGAUUAGCUAGUUGGUUGAGGUAAUGGCUCACCAAGGCGACGAUCAGUAGCUGGUCUGAGAGGAUGAUCAUCCACAUUGGGACUGAGACACGGCCCAAACUCCUACGGGAGGCAGCAGUGGGGAAUCUUGCGCAAUGGGCGAAAGCCUGACGCAGCCAUGCCGCGUGAAUGAUGAAGGUCUUAGGAUUGUAAAAUUCUUUCACCGGGGACGAUAAUGACGGUACCCGGAGAAGAAGCCCCGGCUAACUUCGUG
rnacentral:rRNA from 1 species